UCGGGAUGCCGGAGGGGCGGGCAAUUUGGGAUCGACUGUGACUCGCGACUGGUCGGCGCGGCGAGAGCAGAGCGGCGCGCGGAUUUCUUGGCUCCCGAGGGCUAUGGCGCGGGGUGGCUGGCGCCGUCUGCGCCGCCUGUUAUCCGCGGGGCAGCUUCUAUUCCAGGGCCGCGCGCUGCUCGUCACCAACACGCUGGGCUGCGGCGCGCUCAUGGCGGCCGGUGAUGGCCUGCGCCAGUCAUGGGAGAUCCGUGCCCGGCCCGGCCAGGUUUUCGACCCGCGGCGCUCCGCGAGCAUGUUUGCGGUGGGCUGCAGCAUGGGUCCCUUCCUGCACUACUGGUACUUGUCGCUGGACCGUCUAUUCCCUGCGUCUGGCCUCCGAGGCUUCCCAAAUGUCCUCAAGAAGGUCCUCGUGGAUCAGCUGGUAGCCUCUCCCUUGCUGGGCGUCUGGUACUUCUUGGGCCUUGGCUGCAUGGAGGGUCAGACAGUGGGUGAGAGCUGCCAGGAGCUGCGGGAGAAGUUCUGGGAAUUCUACAAGGCAGACUGGUGCGUGUGGCCUGCUGCACAGUUCGUGAACUUCCUUUUCGUGCCCCCCCAAUUUCGAGUCACCUACAUCAACGGCCUGACGCUGGGCUGGGACACGUACCUGUCGUACUUGAAGUACCGGAGCCCAGUUCCUCUGACAUCCCCAGGCUGUGUGGCCCUGGACACCCGAGCAGACUGAACUGUCCACCUCCGGGACUAGAUGCAAGACUGACUCCUGGCAGACCAUCCCCUCUACCAGAAGGGGAAUGGGCCCCUGCAGCGAGCUCGGGUCCUGGGCCACGUCCCAGCGCCACUCCAGCUCCCGGGCAUUGGGCUGAGCCGUCCUUCCCAAGCGCACUUCUGGGACUCAGUUUCCCCAACUGGAACACACCCGUGAAGAUGGAUGAUCAUCCCCUAGCCCUUCUCAGCAGGAACCUCAUACGACCUGUGACCAAGAUGUCCCACUUGGGACUCAGCACGGGGCUCACCCUGCCAACCAGUCCCAAGCCCCAACCCCUCAACACUGCCGUCCACCUGGCUCUGGGCCAAGCCACCGAUCCAGAGCUCCCUCAGAGCAGGCUCAGGCCUGGAGUCGGCCCCCAAAAGUUUCAGGCAGGGCCGGGCAGCCUCUGUGUUUCCUUCCCUGGUCGUGAACUAUGGAAAUGCCAUUA